UGCGGUGAUGAGAUCACUAAUAGGAAGUGCCGUCAGAGGCGAUAACUGACGAUAAGUUGUUCCUGGCUGAUG
rnacentral:snoRNA from 1 species